rnacentral:misc_RNA from 1 species
AAGUCGUAACAAGGUUUCCGUAGGUGAACCUGCGGAAGGAUCAUUAAUGAAUGAACCGUUGGGCUGUUGCUGGCUCGUCACAGAGCAUGUGCACGCCUUUCGAUCUUUCUACCAUUUUUCCCCUGUGCACUUUUUGUAGGCUCGCUGGAAGGGAAGGCGAACUCUCGUCUUCCUGACUUGUGGGUCUAUGUCUACACAAACCAUUAUAAAGUCCAGAAUGUCUUGUGGCUAGCCUUAAAAAGUGAUGCCUUAAAACUUAAUACAACUUUCAACAACGGAUCUCUUGGCUCUC